UACAGAGGGUGCAAGCGUUAAUCGGAAUUACUGGGCGUAAAGCGUGCGUAGACGGUUAUGUAAGUCAGAUGUGAAAGCCCCGGGCUCAACCUGGGAAUUGCAUUUGAGACUGCAUAGCUAGGGUGCGGAAGAGGGAAGCGGGAAUUUCCGGUGAUAGCGGUGGAAAUGACGUAGAUAUCGGAAGGAACACCAGUGGCGAAAGCGGCUUCCGUGGUCCAGCACCGACGUCAGGCACGAA
rnacentral:rRNA from 1 species